rnacentral:lncRNA from 1 species
GGCAGCUCUUAGGAGAACACUUCAGGAUAAUCUCCCUCGACCAAGACCCAAAAUGAAGGGCAUGGAGAGCUGUGGAUAUUUCCUGUGCAAGGAUGGAGUUACUGUCCUGUCCUCAGAACCUCUGGUGGCCCUUCCUCUUUUUGACAUGGCUGCAGCCACUCUGCUGUGCCAGCACACAGAGAAGGGAUGUGACACCCUUUUUCCAGAGUGAUAACUGUGGUUUAAAAGAAGCCAGCGCUGCGAGGAGAGCGGAGGGCGGAUCCGAGAUAAGGACCCGUGGGCAGUGAAGCUGCUGAAAUGAUGGUUCAGGCUGGUGCCAGACGUGACAGAGAGCAGGGUCUGAAGCUCAUCUCCACUUGUUCUGAGUGAAACCCUUCAGCCAGAGUGCCAGAGUGAGUUCUCACCUCCGGGGACAGCUGAGUGUGGUCCCCAAAGCUGUCAUCAGGUGUGGCCAGCAGGCCAGGAGAAGGUUUUCAAGGCAUUGCUGGAGGUGCUGGCUCUAAGCACAGGGUAGCACAAGAUGUUUGCUCUGUGCUGCUGCUGCAAGUUAUGUUUAGCCUCUUGGAAAUAUUCCCAGCCCACCAGGAGUCAUUUCUGACUAACAGGCACCCCUUAAUCUGUCUCUAAUCCCCCCCUAUAAUUUUACACCUCUUUAGCCUCAUCCAAAUAAAAAC